CUUAAUUUGAUCGUGAUUAAGGUCAAGAUAUGAGAAAAAAAUAAUGUAAUUUUCACAUUGUGUGGAACGGAAUGUUCAAAUCUACCUAGAUGAUUUUUUAGCGUGUUUGUCUUUAGUCAAUCUGAAAAAAAAAAAAACAAAACAAAAACUCGCUGCCAAAACGUUUGGUUAUUUCGAGAAUAAAAAAACAUUUCCUGCGGAAAUUUCCGAUACUAUUUGCAAUUGGAGUCGAAACAGUUUUGUUGUGAUGCGACUUCAAUCGGGGCAAGGAACGAUGCUGCUGCCUAACCAUCUAAAGUUGUUCCUGCACCAAGCAAUGGAUUUGCUCGUUAAUUUCCAGCAGAAAGCAUCUGGGACCAGAAUAGUACACCAACAGUGCUGUCCGAAUCUGCCAUCUCCACUAGCUGCAAGAAUUUUGGUAAGACAUAGUUCUAUUCGAAGUCCGUCAAGCAACCGGCCGGGGUCAAGAUGGGGAUGCUUCAUGCUGGAAUCGCAGGAAUCGAAGCUGAAGAUUUGAUACCAGCGGAAGGGUAGCUGACUGCCGGAUCGAGAGUUACCGGAAUAUUUUUACCGCUUCAAUGCUCCGAAUCAGUGUUAAGCAAAAUAUGAUUUUGUCUGUGAUAUGAUAUUGAAGCCGGAGGCACCUUGCAGAAAAUGUAACUACGUAUGACUUAAUUGACUAAUAAUAAAACGAAAAUAACGACAGUGA